rnacentral:rRNA from 1 species
UACGUAGGGUGCAAGCGUUAAUCGGAAUUACUGGGCGUAAAGCGUGCGCAGGCGGUUUUGUAAGACAGGUGUGAAAUCCCCGGGCUUAACCUGGGAACUGCAUUUGUGACUGCAAGGCUGGAGUGCGGCAGAGGGGGAUGGAAUUCCGCGUGUAGCAGUGAAAUGCGUAGAUAUGCGGAGGAACACCGGAGGCGAAGGCGGCUUGCUGGGCAUUGUCUGACGCUGAGGCGCGAAAGCGUGGGGAGCGAACAGG